GAUGAACGCUGGCGGCGUGCCUAAUACAUGCAAGUCGAGCGAACGGACGAGAAGCUUGCUUCUCUGAUGUUAGCGGCGGACGGGUGAGUAACACGUGGAUAACCUACCUCUAAGACUGGGAUAACUUCGGGAAACCGGAGCUAAUACCGGAUACUAUUUUGAACUGCUUGGUUCAAAAGUGAUAGACGGUCUUGCUGUCACUUAUCGAUGGAUCCGCGCUGCAUUAGGUAGUUGGUAAGGUAACGACUUACCAAGGCAACGAUGCGUAGCCGACCUGGGAGGCUGAUAGGCCACACUGGAGCUGAGACACGGUCCAGACUCCUACGGGAGGCAGCAGAAGGGUAUCGUCCGCAAUGGUCGAAAGCCUUACGGAGCAACGCCGCGUGAGAUAUGAAGGUCUUCGGAUCGUAAAACUCUGUUAUGAGGGAAGAACAUAUGUGUAAGGAACUGUGCACAUCUUGACGGUACCUAAUCAGAAAGCCACGGCUAACUACGUG
rnacentral:rRNA from 1 species